UAUACCAUGCUGAAUGUACCGGUUCUCGUUAGAUCACCGAAGUCAAGCAUCAUUGGGCGUUCAGUACUUGGCUAGGUUACCGCGUG